UACGAACCGUGCGAACGUUGUUCGGAUUCACUGGGCUUAAAGGGCGCGUAGGCGGAUGGUCAAGUCGGGGGUGAAAUCUUUCAGCUUAACUGGAAAAGUGCCUCCGAUACUGAUCGUCUCGAGGGAGGUAGGGGCAUGUGGAACUUCCGGUGGAGCGGUGAAAUGCGUAGAUAUCGGAAAGAACACCGAUGGCGAAGGCACUUUACUGGGCUAUUACUAACACUGAGAGACGAAAGCUAGGGUAGCAAAUGGG
rnacentral:rRNA from 1 species